GAUGAACGCUGGCGGCGUGCCUAAUACAUGCAAGUCGAGCGAAUGGAUUAAGAGCUUGCUCUUAUGAAGUUAGCGGCGGACGGGUGAGUAACACGUGGGUAACCUGCCCAUAAGACUGGGAUAACUCCGGGAAACCGGGGCUAAUACCGGAUAACAUUUUGAACCGCAUGGUUCGAAAUUGAAAGGCGGCUUCGGCUGUCACUUAUGGAUGGACCCGCGUCGCAUUAGCUAGUUGGUGAGGUAACGGCUCACCAAGGCAACGAUGCGUAGCCGACCUGAGCGGGUGCACGGCCACACUGGGACUGAGACACGGCCCAGACUCCUACGGGAGGCAGCAGUAGGGAAUCUUCCGCAAUGGACGAAAGUCUGACGGAGCAACGCCGCGUGAGUGAUGAAGGCUUUCGGGUCGUAAAACUCUGUUGUUAGGGAAGAACAAGUGGUAGUUGAAUAAGCUGACACCUUGACGGUACCUAACCAGAAAGCCACGGCUAACUACGUGCCAGCCGCCGCCGUAA
rnacentral:rRNA from 1 species